CGAGCGGUAAGGCCCUUCGGGGUACACGAGCGGCGAACGGGUGAGUAACACGUGAGCAACCUGCCCCUGACUCCGGGAUAAGCGGUGGAAACGCCGUCUAAUACCGGAUACGACCGGCCGCCUCAUGGUGGCCGGUGGAAAGUUCUUCGGUUGGGGAUGGGCUCGCGGCCUAUCAGCUUGUUGGUGGGGUAAAGGCCUACCAAGGCGAUUACGGGUAGCCGGCCUGAGAGGGCGACCGGCCACACUGGGACUGAGACACGGCCCAGACUCCUGCGGGAGGCAGCAGUGGGGAAUAUUGCGCAAUGGGCGAAAGCCUGACGCAGCGACGCCGCGUGGGGGAUGACGGCCUUCGGGUUGUAAACCUCUUUUACCACCAACGCAGGCUCCCAGUUCUCUGGGGGUUGACGGUAGGUGGGGAAUAAGGACCGGCUAACUACGUGCCAGCAGCCGCGGUAAUACGUAGGGUCCGAGCGUUGUCCGGAAUUAUUGGGCGUAAAGAGCUCGUAGGCGGCGUGUCGCGUCUGCUGUGAAAGACCGGGGCUUAACUCCGGUUCUGCAGUGGAUACGGGCAUGCUAGAGGUAGGUAGGGGAGACUGGAAUUCCUGGUGUAGCGGUGAAAUGCGCAGAUAUCAGGAGGAACACCGGUGGCGAAGGCGGGUCUCUGGGCCUUACCUGACGCUGAGGAGCGAAAGCAUGGGGAGCGAACAGGAUUAGAUACCCUGGUAGUCCAUGCCGUAAACGUUGGGCGCUAGGUGUGGGGACUUUCCACGGUUUCCGCGCCGUAGCUAACGCAUU
rnacentral:rRNA from 1 species